AGUCGAGAAUUUUUCACAAUGGGGGAAACCCUGAUGGAGCGACGCCGCGUGGGGGAUGAAUGGCUUCGGCCCGUAAACCCCUGUCAUUCGCGAACAAUGCGCAUUAUUUAAAAGAUGAUGCGUUGAUAGUAGCGGAAGAGGAAGGGACGGCUAACUCUGUGCCAGCAGCCGCGGUAAUACAGAGGUCCCAAGCGUUGUUCGGAUUCACUGGGCGUAAAGGGUGCGUAGGCGGUCGGGUAAGUCUGAUGUGAAAUCUUCGAGCUCAACUCGGAAACUGCAUUGGAUACUAUUCGGCUUGAGGUCUGGAGGGGGGACUGGAAUUCUCGGUGUAGCAGUGAAAUGCGUAGAUAUCGAGAGGAACACCAGUGGCGAAGGCGAGUCCCUGGACAGGUCCUGACGCUGAGGCACGAAAGCUAGGGGAGCAAA
rnacentral:rRNA from 1 species